AGGUUAUCCGAGUGUUUCCUGCUAAAGAAAUCUUUUGUUAGUUCUAAAACCACUGAUGAAUAAGGGGUGGGCAAGUUCUGGUGUCAGCCGCCGCGGUAAAACCAGCACCUCAAGUGGUCAGGAGGAUUAUUGGGCCUAAAGCAUCCGUAGCCGGUUCUGUAAGUUUCCGGUUAAAUCCACUAGCUCAACUAAUGGGCUGCCGGAAAUACUGCAGAACUAGGGAGUGGGAGAGGUAGACGGUACUCGGGAGGAAGGGGUAAAAUCCUUUGAUCUCUUGAUGACCACCUGUGGCGAAGGCGGUCUACCAGAACACGUUCGACGGUGAGGGAUGAAAGCUGGGGGAGCAAACCGGAUUAGAUACCCGGGUAGUCCCAGCUGUAAACGAUGCAGACUCGGUGAUGCACUGGCUUUUGGCCAGUGCAGUGCCGCAGGGAAGCCGUUAAGUUUGCCGCCUGGGAAGUACGUACGCAAGUAUGAAACUUAAAGGAAUUGGCGGGGGAGCACCACAAGGGGUGAAGCCUGCGGUUCAAUUGGAGUCAACGCCAGAAAUCUUACCCGAAGAGACAGCAGAAUGAAGGUCAAGCCGGAGACUUUACCAGACAAGCUGAGAAGUGGUGCAUGGCCGUCGCCAGCUCGUGCCGUGAGAUGUCCUGUUAAGUCAGGUAACGAGCGAGAUCCCUGCCUCUAGUUGCCACCAUUACUCUCAGGAGUAAUGGGGGCGAACUAGCGGGACCGCCGCAGUUA
rnacentral:rRNA from 1 species